rnacentral:rRNA from 1 species
UACAGAGGGGGCGAGCGUUGCUCGGAAUUACUGGGCGUAAAGGGCGCGUAGGCGGCCCGCUAAGUCGAACGUGAAAUCCCCAGGCUCAACCUGGGAACUGCGUCCGAUACUGGCAGGCUUGAAUCCGGGAGAGGGAUGUGGAAUUCCAGGUGUAGCGGUGAAAUGCGUAGAUAUCUGGAGGAACACCGGUGGCGAAGGCGGCAUCCUGGACCGGUAUUGACGCUGAGGCGCGAAAGCUAGGGGAGCAAACGGG